UAAUAAGUGUUUUAUGGCACUUUUUAAAUCCAUAUCCACCUUGUGUGCAAUGUCAGUCGAUCUUCUUCAUGGAGAUCGACCAAACAUCAACCUUUAUCUUUUAACUCUUGUCUUAAAAAUAUUAUGAAUAAACAAUUCAAAAUA
rnacentral:misc_RNA from 1 species